GCCUUCGUGGUGUAGUGGUCAGCAUACUCGACGCGUAUUCGAGAGGUCCGUGGGUUCGAGUCCCGCCGAGAGCA
rnacentral:tRNA from 1 species